GAAUAUAGAAUACUUUAUAUUCUAAUAUGUAAUUCUAUAUGUAAUAGAAUAUAAUAUAGAGUUUCAGGGUCUAACUAGCUUGGAAGAGGAUGUGUAUUACAGUAUAAUCAGAUAAGGGGGUAGGGGUUUUAUUGCAGGAAAACCCCCCCAUCAGGUGGUAUUUGGAGACACAUCUCAAGGAAGAAAGGAACUGCGGGGAGCCACUAUAAACAUUGAAUGCAGGAAUGCAGGCGACACCUGGAGCAGAAGUCUGGAGCCAGAUCAAAUGGUCAUCAUUCUGCAGGACAACGAUGACGUCAGAUUACGGACCAAUCAGACGACAGCGAUUACAUACUGGCCUGUUUGAAACAUUGUAUAAGUCUGGGGUAGAAUCAGAUAGUUUCAGUUCGACUACUUUAUCUGCUAAGGAUAAGAUGGGGUAGUUACGAACCCAGAGCUCUGCAAAUGUAUAGACUCCUCUGUCAGGAAUAAAUUGGUUGGUUUUGAUACAUUGUUGUGUACGACGUUCUUUCACGAAAACGAACACGCUUGGAACCACGGGAGUUAAGGUGAUUUUAAAACACAGGUUCCUUUAAAUGGUGAGCCCGACGUGAUCCUGAAAGGACAUUAGUUAAAAAGACAGAGGAGCGGGCAGGAAUUCAGUUGGACUGCGAAUCUCCCCGGUGCACCGAAAUAAAAAAGGUGAGCGGAAGCCUGUUUGUUUAUAUCACGAAUUCUGCACAUUGGAAAUGGCGAAAUUUGGGAGACUUGUGGUACAGUUGUUUUGUUGUCAAUAGUUAAUAAGACGUGUUGUUAAAAUUGCAUAAUUAAAAGUCAGGGUAACGGAGGACCUGACGUCAGGGUAACAAGGUACCUGACAGACCAGGAUCAGAGAAAAUCCUGGAAGUAGGGUAACAAGGUACCUACUUGUCCCGUCGUAGACUGACUUGAAAUCGGACGCGGUUUCAAAUUGUAACGUUUCGGUAGACGUUGGGGAUUUUGGGACCCCCAAAAACCGAUUUAGAACAAGAUGAGUGUGCCACCAAAACUCGGGGUUGUGAAUUGGACAGUCGAGUGUCGAGGUAAUGAAUGUGAUAAGUGUCGGAUUUGUGGAUUGAAAGAGAAAGGCAGAAAAAGAAACAAACAGGAUUAAGAAGUGUGUGGGCAAAGUGGGAAAAAAAAAAAGGAAUGUAAGUUGUUUCACGUAACAGAGAGGUUAUUCUGAAAGGGAAACAAAGAGGAAGGAAAAGUUGGAUGCUGCAGGGUGGAGAGAGAAAAGAGACUUGAAUAAGAAAAUAGAAGAGAAUGAAAAAUUGAGUAGAAAAAUGUAUGAGAUUUGUCUGGUGUGCCCUGCCAUGGCAGCUGUUCAGCGAAGAAAAAAUAAGAGCGACAAAUUCCCCCGCUAAAUACAAUUUACGGACCUUUCCGAAAACGGCCCCAGUGACGUCACUAUAACCGGCAUCGCCGGUCAAGGGGCGGCUCAAAUGGCAGACCAUUUGUAGAGGGGAAAUAAAACUCCUAUCAAUUCCGCACGAGCCCGCAUUCAAAAAGGUGGGUAAAUGUACAAAAAAUUGUCUUUAAAGAUUUUUGAGUUUUUUACAGAAACGGCUGCCCGGACUGGCUGCUGUUGGUGUAAUUUGGAUCCAGGGGCUGAAAAGUUGACGGACAACAUGAGCCUGGCGUGUGGUGACAUAGUGAGAUUGAUACGCGCCUGUUGCAUUUCGGUUCACCAAUCGGAUGAUAUUUUGACACGGUCGGGUCUGAAUAAUGUCGAACCUGAAAUUUUAUUUGCCCCUUUUGCUCCUAUAGUAUUUGCUGUGUGACAUGUUCCCGUCCUCUUCCCCAACGGUGCCGAAGCUUCCGGACUUCAAACCUCUCAUGGAUCCCAGUUCUCACUUCGAACAUUGCAUAAGUAUUUGGACAGAUAAGACAGGAUCACAUCCCUCCCGUUUAAGAGAGGCAAAUGUUAUUUAUAGAAUAGCUUUACUUGAGACCUUGCCGGUUGAAGUUAGGACUGAACUUAUUAAAGACCCUGACCUCAUGAAAGGGGGAGAUAGCUUUUUUAAUUGUCAUGUGUCACACCAUUUGAAACUUUUUGUCGACAGAAAACACAAAUCAUCAGAUGAGGUAAAGGACAUGCAGGAACAACUUUUGAAGCUACAAUUGGCCCAGGCCCGUAAAGUGGCCAUUAAAAAAAAAUACAUAAAUAAAUAAAUAAAUAAAAAUGGAAGCAGAAAAACAGAUGUGGAUGGCGCAGGGGUCAACGAGGAGACGAGGCGGGAGUCGUGACAGAGGACACCAACGGAGGCAGAGGAAGCCCUUGCCGACCUCCAACGGACCAAGCGUGCUUCAAUUGUGUGGAACCCGGAGAGGCCACACCUCAAAGAGGAGGCUACAAAGCUUCACGAGGGAGAGGUGGGCGCGUCCCGGCAACAGCAUCCGCAGCAGGCUCCACAGCAACAAGAGCCAUCUCGCCAGUACUACUGCAAUGAGGCCUGGUCCGAAUGCCCAAUGAGCCCGGAGCCAGGGGACGGAGGAAAGACAGAGCCUCUGAACCCCGCUAAGGGAAGACAACCACCUGAAUGAGCUGUGCAGGGGUGCCCAUGAGUCUGCCGAUUACGACACCAUUAAAGACUGAAAUUGCUGGACAGACGCAUGAACAUCAGUUUGUCCUCAUGAAAAGAGGGGCUCCAGUGAACCUGAUGGGCAGAGAUCUGCUUAUCAAGACCAAGGCUACCAUCCUUUGUAGCCCAGAUGGACUGACGAUACGGGUCCCCGAUGGGACCAUGAUGAACUGUGGAAGAAGUUAUCCUCCAGAUGGAACAUGAUACAACAUGAACUUCCGGAAGCAACUGCUGACAUAUAUUGGGCCCGACUAAAACCUGAAACAAAGGAGGGAGGCGGCGUUUACUCGGCCUUCCUGCGGUGAAAGUCCUGGAUCGACUCUCUUGCCCCCUAUCGUCCUCCAAUUGAUCCUCUCCAUCUCACACUGUUGUAUGAUAAAAAUGAUGAUUUGGUUUACAGAGAAGCGUUUGAGCCAAUACAGGGGGAAAAUGGGAUGCUCAAUAAGUAAAAGUAUUUACAUAAGGAAGCAAGGUGUGGCAGCGGCCUCCACCUUGACGCCAGAGCAGAGUGAGUGGUUUAUGAUGAGUUUGACAUCUUUUCCAUACUUUUUCACUUUCACUAGGUCAUAAAGCUUGAGAACUGGGACCCAUGGUGAGAAAAUGCCAAUUGGCAAAUGAUUGGCAACAAGAUCAAAUACCCAAUGUGUUGUACUCUCCCAGUACUGAAUGUUUUUGUAUUCAAGGUACCAUGGUGGACGGAGGGGUGUUGGAGCAUGUGACUUUAGCGCGAUUCCAUGGCAGAGAACUCUCGGACCAUGAGGACGCCGCACAGCUGUUGAGCUCGCUGCCGGACUCAUUGUGGUCCGAGGGUCCUGCAGACGGGGGUUUAUGUACAUCCGUGACUCCGGUAACAUUCGAGGUAAACCCGACUGCUUUUGUUAACGUGCCGUAGUAUACUUGUAAACAAGAGGCCAUAGAAGAUAUCGCGGAAACCCAAAUUCUGAAAUCCCAAUGCUUUGGUCCAUAAAUGAUGUUAUGAAACCCUCCGCUCAAGCUGCAGAACUGCUGGCCAGGUGCGGGGCACUAGAGUUAUCUGAAGGUCAGAGUGUUACUAUUUAUUAAUGGUGCUGAAAAAAGUAGCAGGCUAAUAAAUGGAUGCUGAAGGAAAAUAUGUUGUUAAACGGGAUCAGUUAAUUGACUUUCUCCCUGCAGUAACAGUUGAUGUGGUGCGCGACCUCCAGGACGCGGCGCCGAAGGAAGACAAGCGUAAGUGGCAAGAGACAGGUGCUGAGUAUGAUGACAAGGAGAACCUAGGAGACUGAUGUUACCUACAGGAAAGUUAUGUGUCAAUGCUGAAGAAGCUGCGCUUUUGGUGGCACCCUUAUCUUCUGUGUAAGGUAAAAUAUUUUUGUGUUUUUUGUGAUAUAUGUCGAGAUAUCAGUGUUUGCCCUACAACGAAGAGGGAAUUGCAACACACUGAGAUGGGCCGAGGCCUGAAUUUAUGUGGUGGUAAUGGACUGAACCGGCAAUGGUAGUCCCAGUCCAAAGCGUAAGGUACUUAUUAAUAAUUGUCAGCACUUUUUCUGGAUGGCCCAAAGGCUAUCCUUGUGCAAAAGAAAACGUGCCGUCUGUCGACAAAGCGCUGGUUAACCAUUAUAUUCCGACGUAUGAGCUUCCACGAGUAAUCAGAUCGGACAAGUGAUUCUACUUGUCCCAAACAUGUCCUGCGCAGGCCUCUAUUGUGAAAAAAAAAAACGUGGACUAAGUGUGAAUGGUAUAAAUAUUCGGUGCGAUACGUUUUAUAAAUUGUGUACACAAUAUAAAGCAAACCUUAGAACUUUGAUGAAUAAAAUUAUAUGACUAUAUAUGUAAAAAGGUAUAAAGCGCUUCAAAGGGUACCCAUUAUAUUUAUUAACUAAAUAAAUAAGGCAUACAUAUUGUAUGUAUAAAUAGGUAUGCAUAUGAUAUUCUGGAAGAUAAAUUAAAUAAUAGAUAAAUUAAGACGUGUGCCGGACGGAUGUGAUCAAGCAAGAGUGGUAUCGUGACUUUCUAUUUCCGGGUCAGCAGAGCGGACCAGAGCGGCUCUGCGUGCCUGGGAUAAAAGCCUGACAACAGUACGGGAGGUUUGUGGUCUAAGAAAACGCUUCGGAGUUUGAAUAAAUGACGUGCAAGUUGCUAUCUGAGCUGGUGAAUGGGAUUUGAUAUAUAUUGCUUAGAGAGGGGGCGGCACGGUGGACGACUGGUUGGAGCGUCGGCCUCACAGUUCUGAGGACCCGGGUUCGGUCCCCGGCCCCGCCUGUGUGAAGUUUGCGUGUUCUCUCCGUGCCUGCGUGGGUUUUCUCCGGGCACUCCGGUUUCCUCCCACAUCCCAAUAACAUGCAUGGUAGGUUAAUUGGAGACUCUAGAUUGCCCGUAGGUGUGAAUGUGAGUGCGAAUGGUUGUUUGUUUGGAUGUGCCCUGCGAUUGGCUGGCAACCAGUCUGGGGUGUGCCCCGCCUCCUGCCCGAUGAUAGCUGGGGUGGGCUCCAGCGCGCCCGCGACCCUAGUGAGGAGAAGCGGCUCAGAAAAUGGAUGAGUGCUUAAAAGAGCACUUGAAGUGAAGGUGCACCAAAUGGUUUAUGAAAGGACACAGGGGUCCUCAGCUGGGGGGGGGGGCAGCUUUACGACGGGCGUGUGUGAGUUUUCCGAGUUUAUGGUAUUGCAAGGGCCAGGGAGAUUUACAAUAGGAUCGUUUAAUUAAUGCAUUGUAUAGAAGCCUGGUCUGUACUGGUUUAGGUGUUAUGGUUCAACCAAUAAGUGUGCUGUGUUCAGUUUUGUCUGUGUGGUGUAUGUGAGAGGACAUUCACUCCUGGGUCCAGGUUAAUGUUAUUGUCUGUGAAGUCUCGAUUGUCAUGUCAUGUUAAUUGUUUAUGUUUUGUCUUUAAUGUUUGUGUCGUCUUAAUUAAAAGCAGAAAUGGAGCACUACUGAGCUGGCUGACAGGAGUAGUGAACGAUGUGAUCACGUGAAAGAGACUAUAGACCUUUAGUUACCAAUGAAUAACGGUCUAUAGACUGUUGAAAGACUGAUUUGUUGAAAUAACAUUAUUUUACAGGACGCCCAGGAGGAUGGAGCUUGAUAGUGUAUUGCAUGAUGUUGGUGUGCUGACUUAACGCUGAUUUUAUGUGAUUCUUGGUUUAUUGACAUUAACACUUUUGUGAGACAAAUUAACAAUUGGUUGGGGAAUAAUAUCAAUGUUGGGUGACAAUUGCCAACUUGUCCCUUCUCUGGAGUAUGUAUACAGGAAUUAUGUAGUCCAUCGCUUUGGCACGGGUAUCUUUUGCAGAGUUGUGAUUAAUUUAUAUAAGGGUUUGUUUGCAGGUCUGGUCAGGGGCCUCUCCGACGAAGGAGACGACCUGCUUGUUUGUGUAUGGUGUUGUGUGUGGGUACUGUGUUUUGGUGUUAAAUUAGUCAUUUAACAAAGGGGGAAAUAUGUACAUCCUGUAUGUCUGGUCAAAGAAGGUUAUAAUCAUGACUCUGGUGAUCUCCCUGAUUACAGUUACAGGAAUCUAUUUUGGAAUGCCUUCAAUACAAGGAGAAAGAGUAACAAAGAGGGCCGUGAAGCCAGCAGGGGCCCUAGAAUUGAACUACACAUUGGGGGAAAAGACGUUGGAGGCAAGUGAUUAUCCACUCGAAACCGGGAUACUGGGAGCCGACGAAGAUUAGGAAUUGGCGGUGGAAGGACAAGAUCAAAUUGGAAAGAGUUAGUAUGCACUCAGUAACCCCGAGGGACCGACAUCCCGUAUUAUUGACCUUGUAUGAUAUAACUAGCACCCCGUGGAGAGAGUGGGGCAAACCAGUAGCGACCUUUACAGUCUUGACCUUGGGUAUAAAUGUCUCAGGGACUGAUCCACUAGGACAGAUUAUUAUUAAUUGGAUACGACCGACUAAAAGUUCAUCUAGUCCGAUAAUGAGAAAAUUUGCUAACAUACCGUCCCUUCCCUUCCCUACCCUGCAUCACACAAAAUAAGAGUAAGGUAACUUUGGGCCCAAAUAAAAAACUUUCCUGAUCAAUUGGCCACCUGGAUCCACAGUUUUGUAAAUUCACACUUUUUAUUGAUUGUUAGGAUGCGGCCCGAUUAAGUAAGAUGAGGUCUGAUUUGUGGUGGAUGUGUGGUGUUGUUCUGUUGUGGGACUUCCUGCCCGGGGAAUGGACAGGCACUUGUGCAUUGGUUUCUAUGAUAACCCCCACUGUGAUCAAGCCUCUCUCUCAGCAGGAGAUCAACCAUAUGGCGGAUUUCACCUGGGAGAGUGACUGGUGUGGGGGGUGUUAAUUCAUUUUCUCAGGAGACUUGUUCUCAGGUUUGCUCUCAAGGCCUUUGAAGAGAAGAACCCCCACUGCCAAGAUCUGCAGCUGCCGUUGAAAGAGGACGGGGAGACGAUGAGCGCGCUCGCUGCCUUGAUCGACGCCUUUGUAUUCACAAAUUUUUUCAAUUUGCUGUGUUUACAUUAGGUUUUGUUGAGUUUUGUCGUGAAAUAGGCUGUAGGUAUAGGGGUUGUUGAUCUUCUGAUUAUCAGAAGAUCAACUUGGGGGAUUGAAGGGAAUAUAGAAUACUUUAUAUUCUAAUAUGUAAUUCUAUAUGUAAUAGAAUAUAAUAUAGAGUUUCAGGGUCUAACUAGCUUGGAAGAGGAUGUGUAUUACAGUAUAAUCAGAUAAGGGGGUAGGGGUUUUAUUGCAGGAAAACCCCCCCAUCAGGUGGUAUUUGGAGACACAUCUCAAGGAAGAAAGGAACUGCGGGGAGCCACUAUAAACAUUGAAUGCAGGAAUGCAGGCGACACCUGGAGCAGAAGUCUGGAGCCAGAUCAAAUGGUCAUCAUUCUGCAGGACAACGAUGACGUCAGAUUACGGACCAAUCAGACGACAGCGAUUACAUACUGGCCUGUUUGAAACAUUGUAUAAGUCUGGGGUAGAAUCAGAUAGUUUCAGUUCGACUACUUUAUCUGCUAAGGAUAAGAUGGGGUAGUUACGAACCCAGAGCUCUGCAAAUGUAUAGACUCCUCUGUCAGGAAUAAAUUGGUUGGUUUUGAUA